UUCCAUAGCAGCAGGUCUGCAAUUGCUCUUCCUGUAGCAAUUGUGGCAGUCAUCUGUGAGGAAGAAAUUGUUACUUGGUUAACACUGCUUUCUUAGCAAAAUAGACAGUAAUAGUGUAAUUUGUCAGGCUAGA
rnacentral:snoRNA from 10 species